UGCGAGUUGACCCCGGCAGUCUCCUACGAGUCCCCGGCCGAUCCGCUGGCAACAUAGGACAAGGGUUGCGCUCGUUGCGGGACUUAACCCAACAUCUCACGACACGAGCUGACGACAGCCAUGCAGCACCUGUGUACGCUGGUAUUGCUACCUCGUCAGGCUUUCACCCUCCUACUACGUACAUGUCAAGGCCAGGUAAGGUUCUUCGCGUUGCAUCGAAUUGAGCCACAUACUCCACCGCUUGUGCAGGCCCCCGUCAAUUUCUUUGAGUUUUAAUCUUGCGACCGUACUUCCCAGGCGGCACGUUUAACGCGUUGGCUACGCCACAAAAGGGGUCGAUUCCUCUUACAGCAAACGUGCACCGUUUACGGCUAGGACUAC
rnacentral:misc_RNA from 1 species